rnacentral:rRNA from 1 species
GCUAAGAAUCUUCCGCAAUGGGGGAAACCCUGACGGAGCGACGCCGCGUGGAUGAUGAAGGCCGUAAGGUUGUAAAAUCCUUUUGUUGGUGAAGAAUAAGGCGGGGAGUGGAAAGCCCCGCUGAUGACGUUAGCCGACGAAUAAGCCCCGGCCAAUUACGUGCCAGCAGCCGCGGUAAUACGUAUGGGGCGAGCGUUGUUCGGAGUUAUUGGGCGUAAAGGGCGUGUAGGCGGCUCAUCAAGUCUGGUGUGAAAUCGCGGGGCUUAACCCCGCAUAUGCGCUGGAAACUGGUGGGCUUGAGUUCCUGAGGGGAAGCUGGAAUUCCAGGUGUAGGAGUGAAAUCUGUAGAUAUCUGGAAGAACACCGGUGGCGAAGGCGAGCUUCUAUCAGAGGACUGACGCUGAGGCGCGAAAGCGUGGGGAGCAAACAGGAUUAGAAACCCCAGUAGUCC